ACAUGAUUUAAUAUUGGCGGAGAAGAAAUGUCAAUAAAUUGAUUCAUCAUAAGUAAAGGGGCAUGCGUAUUGGCAAAGCAAUGUUAUAUUUAACAGCUGCUGUUACAUAAUAUUUUUUCUGACAAGGGGAAGGACGGCUGUAGAUAAGUAUGUUUGAUAUACGAAUUAUGCACUCGUCUGAAGAGGUUGAGAAAUAGGUUUUGUGUUGUUGUUUGAGAAAGACAUCGUUAGGUAAAUAGAAAUUUGACGAUGAUGAAUCUCAUUAAUCAAUAUGAAGAAAAAUCAAGGUGACAAAAGAAGACUGUGGUGAUCGUUAGAAAGAGUGAUGACAGGUCAACUUUAGUACCAUAAUGAAAUACGGCUCGUCAUUUUGGAAUACAGGAAAGGAAUCGAAAGCUUAAAUAAUGAAUAAAUUUUGUAAAUCCAUAUAAUUAAA